rnacentral:tRNA from 1 species
AUAAGACGAAAAAAUAGUAGUCGAAACCAAGAAUCAAUCCCAAAAGGUCGGAACGAGGUAUGUGGCUUUCAAACUAGGUUCUGGGUUCAUAAAAGACCUGAAUCAGGAACAAGGGCUAUUAGCUCAGGUGGUUAGAGCGCACCCCUGAUAAGGGUGAGGUCCCUGGUUCGAGUCCAGGAUGGCCCACCUGCACAGGUGGCAAAAACAAAGAAAAGAAGCGAGGAAUCAGCACCUUAUCUUACUUAUAUAGUAAGAGAGAAUGCUGGCUCUGAGUACAGAGUCCAGAGGAACCUUGAAAACUGCAUAGAGCUAGGUGAAAAA